rnacentral:misc_RNA from 1 species
GUGAAUCAUCAAAUUUUUGAACGCACAUUGCACUCUCUUCGGAGAGUAUGCCUGUUUGUGGGUCAGCCUAUAAAAAACCGUCAUCGUUGCUGUUUCGCGGUGGCGUUCGUCGGCUAUUGGGUCAUCUUAAAUCUUUUGGCUUUCAGCGACUUAAAAUUUUCUUUUUGGUUCCAUGAACGUUUCUACGAAUUAUUUCU